CGUGGUAUGAGCUGGGGCGCGAGCGUCUCUAGAUAUUAUGUAUUAAAACUAACUUUAAACAAUGUAAUGUCAAUGAAGACAACAAUGAAGUCUUGCUCUCACACAAGUGUCGGGCAGAAAAAUCAUCAAGAUGUACUGGCAUCAUGGGUGUGAUUGCUUGAAAAGUGGAGCCUCUCCAGUUAAGGCAAAAAGCCUGGACUCAACUUGUGUCUUAUGUGUAUUGCAUCCCUCCAUUCCUAUUUGGUCUCGACUUCUCACCCUGGCCCAUAGGCACCAAGGCUGAUCCACAGCAACAGAUGGGGGGGUUGAAUGUCACCGCAGCCCUCUCAAGCUCUCCAGGGCUGAGCCUCGCAGACGUCAAGUGUUAAUUUAGGGUUCCUGCCGAGCGUGAGCCUGUCAGCGGCGAGGCUUGGAGGAGGGAGUGUUGUGACUCUAUAGUGGUCACUGCCAGUCACAGGGAAGUUGCACGGCAUUAGUGUUACAUCACUGAUGGACAACAAAACACAGCAUCCCAGUGGAGCUAAGCCAGCCUAUGCAGAUCAGCUGACCGACUCGGACCAAUGGCGGAACAGACACAGGUGUGGCGACGAUAAUAGGAAUACAUCCAGGCAGCCAGGGGCACAGCAGGAGGCUAAUAGACUAGCACAGAGGAGCCCCCUGACGCUUGAUGCAUUGUGUCGGGGCCUUGUCUACUUCACGCACAUUAAGGAUCACAUGCCACAAUUUCACAGUACAGCAGGGGCACUGGCCCCCAUCCCAGCCCCCAUUUGGCCAGUGAUGGAUGGUGUUGACAGUUACAAGCCGAGUACCAAGUGGAGCAACACAAAGGUCAAGGUUGAAGCUGCAAGUGUGGUCUGGUUAACAAUGAAAGGUCUCCAUAGUAGGAAAAUGCUGUUUAUACUAAACACUAACUAUGCAGUGAGUUAUAUGGACACAAAGGGCUUUAGUCAUUUGAAGCCGUGGCUUUUGUUAAACAGCCUGUCUGGCUUAGCCCCGUAUUUAGCAUUCAGGUACUGGGCUGCUUAAAGUGCCCAAGUGAAAAAAACACAAUGAUCAUUAAAGCAAACCAAACUGCCCCGGACUGGACAUUUGCAUGGAAACCACCUCCAACAGAUAGCAGUUGCCGCUCUCUGCCACAUCAC